UACGUAGGGGGCUAGCGUUGUCCGGAAUCAUUGGGCGUAAAGCGCGCGUAGGCGGCCAGAUAAGUCCGGUGUGAAAGUCACAGGCUCAACCUGUGAAUGCCGCUGGAAACUGUCUGGCUUGAGUCCAGUAGGGGAGCGUGGAAUUCCUGGUGUAGCGGUGAAAUGCGCAGAUAUCAGGAGGAACACCGAUGGCGAAGGCAGGUCUCUGGGCAUUAACUGACGCUGAGGAGCGAAAGCAUGGGGAGCGAACAGG
rnacentral:rRNA from 1 species